rnacentral:lncRNA from 1 species
AUGAAAGCAAAGUUAACAUACAUUUCUAUUUUAGGAUGGCUAAAAUGAUUUUUUCUUAUAAAAUUGGAGGGUAAAAAAAACAUUCUUUUUCUUUAUAUUAUUAUUAUUGUUAUUAUUAAAAAGAAAAAGAAAAAGAAAGAAAAAAGGAAAUCUGAAUUCAUAAAGAAUCAUAUAAGCUCCUAGUCCUAUACCACCAUGUUAUAUGUCAAUCACUCAAAAUUCUUGCUUUA